AUAAUCAUGCAGAAAAAAGGUGCUGCUUCGUCAGCAUAACAGGGAACUCGGUUAAAUUCCGAGGCUGUUUCCGCAACUGUAAGUGCGUAUGAAAUAAGAAAAUGCCACUGUUUAGGUUAACUAAAUGGGAAGGUUCUUAAAGUAAAACAACGCACAAGCCAGGAGACCUACCUUUUUUUGAACGUAUUU
rnacentral:ncRNA from 2 species